GCCCUGGGUCGUCUGUUGACAUUUACAGGCCAAUAGUUUACCUGUCUGUGCUACAAUCAUUGUCAUUGGCGGUUUAAGCCCAUUUGGAAGUUAAGACUUGUUGUGCGUGGUCUAAUUUGUCUUUUUAAUGUUGUUUUUUUUUGUGUGAAGAGGGUGAAGUGAAAGCUACUGGAGAUUGUUUUCUCUGACUUUUCUUAGAAGGCAGCUUUACUAAAAAGGCUAAACCGUCUACAGUGAAAUUUACUAAGACGUUCGCGUGCGGUAUCAGGAAGAAUGAACGUGAUCAUAGGAACAAUGCGUAAUGGGACCAGGGCAACUUUGAGGCAACCUCGGCUAUUUACGGCUCUUGCCAGUUCAAUGAUGCAGUGCUCCACUCAGACCAAUAAACCUGUUGUCGCUGCCAAGAUGCCUUUCAGGGUGAAAGUGACUGGAGGCAAACGCUAUGUCUGGUGUGCCUGUGGACACAGCAAGAAACAGCCCUUCUGUGACGGUGCUCACAGGACUAAGGCACCCAGCAUCUCUCCACGACACUUCACUCCCGAGAAGGAUAGCACCCUUAUGCUGUGUGCCUGUAAGCAAACCAAAAAUGCACCUUACUGCGAUGGCACACAUUUCAAGGUCAUCUUCCAGGAUCUAGUCAGCUCAGUGAAAAAAGUGUUUAAAAUGAAUAACUUUUAAAAAAUGGCAUGACGCAGCUAAUUUCCUUAUAACUGUACCGCCUAUAUUCAUUGUUCAUAAAUCACUUGUUGACAAACAAUUUAUUUAUGAUAAAUGGGAAAAAGGCAUUUAUGUUUUGUCACUGUCCAUAAGGGAAUAAAUAAUGGCCUACUAUUUCAAUACA